rnacentral:rRNA from 1 species
AUUGAACGCUGGCGGCAUGCUUUACACAUGCAAGUCGAACGGUAACAGGUUAAGCUGACGAGUGGCGAACGGGUGAGUAAUGUAACGGAACGUGCCCAGUCGUGGGGGAUAACGUAGCGAAAGCUACGCUACUACCGCAUACGAUCUGUGGAUGAAAGCGGGGGACCGUAAGGCCUCGAGCGAUUGGAGCGGCCGAUAUCAGAUUAGGUAGUUGGGGGGGUAAAGGCCCACCAAGCCAACGAUCUGUAGCUGGUCUGAGAGGACGACCAGCCACACUGGGACUGAGACACGGCCCAGACUCCUACGGGAGGCAGCAGUGGGGAAUUUUGGACAAUGGGGGCAACCCUGAUCCAGCAAUGCCGCGUGCAGGAAGAAGGCCUUCGGGUUGUAAACUGCUUUUGUACGGAACGAAAAGGCUCUGGUUAAUACCUGGGGUUUAUGACGGUACCGUAAGAAUAAGCACCGGCUAACUACGUGCCAGCCGCCGCCGUAACAC